rnacentral:rRNA from 1 species
AUGAUCACAGGGCAGGAGGACAAACUGAAGAUCGCAUGGGAUUUCUUCAACACCCUGAUUGGAACUCCUAAAGAGCGGGUCGCAGCCAUCAAUCUUCAAGCACUCGGGUACACACCUAUGCUGCAGCACCUGGCCGACCUUGACGCCCUUAUUACCGAAGAGGAGGUGUUUGCAACCAUUGAUGAUAUGGCCAUGGAAAAGGCACCUGGACCUGAUGAAUACACCAUGUUGUUCUUCAGAGCAUGUUGGUCUAUCAUCAAAGGGGAUGUGAUGGCUGCCAUCAACAGGCUGCAGAACCUCAACUUCAACAAUUUCCAACAUCUAAACUCAGCUUGCAUGAUCCUACUGCCAAAAAUUGAAGGUGCCAAGAAGAUGGCUGACUUCAGGCCAAUUAGUUUGGUACACGCCAUUGCAAAAAAAUUUCACCAAAUUGCUUGCACGACGGCUGCAAGCCAAGAUGGAUAA